GAUGAACGCUGGCGGCGUGCCUAAUACAUGCCAGUCGAGCGAACAGAUGAGGAGCUUGCUCCUCUGACGUUAGCGGCGGACGGGUGAGUAACACGUGGAUAACCUACCUAUAAGACUGGGAUAACUUCGGGAAACCGGAGCUAAUACCGGAUAAUAUAUUGAACCGCAUGGUUCAAUAGUGAAAGACGGUUUUGCUGUCACUUAUAGAUGGAUCCGCGCCGCAUUAGCUAGUUGGUAAGGUAACGGCUUACCAAGGCAACGAUGCGUAGCCGACCUGAGAGGGUGAUCGGCCACACUGGAACUGAGACACGGUCCAGACUCCUACGGGAGGCAGCAGUAGGGAAUCUUCCGCAAUGGGCGAAAGCCUGACGGAGCAACGCCGCGUGAGUGAUGAAGGUUUUCGGAUCGUAAAACUCUGUUAUUAGGGAAGAACAAAUGUGUAAGUAACUAUGCACGUCUUGACGGUACCUAAUCAGAAAGCCACGGCUAACUACGUG
rnacentral:rRNA from 1 species